AAUAUACUCCCUCCGUCCCAUAUUAAGUGUCACGGCUUUGCCCAAAUAUGCAUGUAUCUAGACACGUUUUAGUGUGUAGGUUAAUGGUACAUGCAUAUUUAGACAAAGUUAUGACUUAUGAUACUUAAUAUGGGAUGGAGGGAGUAUUAU
rnacentral:pre_miRNA from 1 species